rnacentral:tRNA from 1 species
GGGUGUAUAGCUCAGUGCUAGAGCACUUGCCUAGUGUAUACGAGGUCCUGGGUUCAAUUCCCAGUACCACCA